AGGGAUUGCCCUAGUAACGGCGAGUGAAGCGGCAACAGCUCAAAUUUGAAAUCUGGCCUUCUGGUCCGAAUUGUAAUUUGUAGAGGAUGCUUUUGGUUAGGUACCUUUCGAGUUCCUUGGAACAGGACGCCUUAGAGGGUGAGAGCCCCGUACGAUUGGAUACCGAGCCUCUGUAAAGCUCCUUCGACGAGUCGAGUAGUUUGGGAAUGCUGCUCUAAAUGGGAGGUAAAUUUCUUCUAAAGCUAAAUACCGGCCAGAGACCGAUAGCGCACAAGUAGAGUGAUCGAAAGAUGAAAAGCACUUUGAAAAGAGGGUUAAAUAGUACGUGAAAUUGUUGAAAGGGAAGGGCUUAUGACCAGACCUUUGCCUUGCGGAUCAUCCGGUGUUCUCACCGGUGCACUCCGCUUGGUUGAGGCCAGCAUCAGUUUUGGCGGCCGGAUAAAGACUUCAGGAAUGUGACUCCUCCGGGAGUGUUAUAGCCUGCUGUGUAAUACGGCCGCUGGGACUGAGGACCGCGCUUCGGCUAGGAUGCUGGCAUAAUGGUCAUCAGCCACCCGUCUUGAAACACGGACCAAGGAGUCGAACAUUUAUGCGAGUUUUUGGGUGUUAAACCCUCAAGCGUAAUGAAAGUGAACGGAGGUGAGAGCCCUUACGGGUGCAUCAUCGACCGAUCCUGAUGUCUUCGGAUGGAUUUGAGUAAGAGCAUAACUGUUCGGACCCGAAAGAUGGUGAACUAUGCGUGGAUAGGGUGAAGCCAGAGGAAACUCUGGUGGAGGCUCGCAGCGGUUCUGACGUGCAAAUCGAUCGUCAAAUCUGCGCAUGGGGGCGAAAGA
rnacentral:rRNA from 1 species